UUAAAAUUAUGUAGCUAUCAUCAAACAGCUGUGGGCACGGCUGCGUGGUUAUUCGAGAAAUCAACAAGACAUGAGAGGAGCUUAUAAAGUGUUACCGAUAUUACUGUGGUUGAUGGCACUGCAAUGCGACUGUGAAAAGCAGCAGAAACAUAAGGAUGUCGUCGUUUAUUUGGAGAUGGGUAUAAACGAAAACGGAGGUAAAGAAGUCAGAAGGAAAUGUAUCAUCAUGUACUAUCCAGAGAUAAUGUACCGUGUGGGAACCGACGUUGAUUACAUAGAAAUAAAGUCGCAUAGUGAAUCCAGCAAUAUGGUGAAAAUUAACGGCCAUGAUAGCGAGAAUUCGAAAUUCAAAAUAAAGAAUUCGUUUUAUAAUAGAAUGAAAAUUUGUUACGAUUUUAAAAAAAUAACUUUAAAAAAUAAAUUAGUGUGAUAUCAAUUUCAAAAUGAAGUGUAGGUAAUAAUAUAAUAAACAAUAAAUAGUUAUGAUCAAUACUAA